rnacentral:rRNA from 1 species
UACGUAGGGGGCAAGCGUUAUCCGGAUUUACUGGGUUUAAAGGGUGCGUAGGCGGUCCGUUAAGUCAGCGGUAAAAUUGCGGGGCUCAACCCCGUCGAGCCGUUGAAACUGGCAGACUUGAGUUGGCGAGAAGUACGCGGAAUGCGCGGUGUAGCGGUGAAAUGCAUAGAUAUCGCGCAGAACUCCGAUUGCGAAGGCAGCAUGCCGGCGCUCAACUGACGCUCAUGCACGAAAGCGUGGGUAUCGAACAGG